rnacentral:tRNA from 1 species
GCCCGGAUGGUGGAAUUGGUAGACACACUAGUUUCAGGGACUAGCGGUCGUAAGGCUGUGCAGGUUCGAGUCCUGUUCCGGGCA